AUUGAGCUGUUGGGAGAGUUGUUGCAGGCUCUCGGUUAAUGACAAGGUCCUAAGGGCAGAGACACAGGCGUCAGGGGUGCAGGUGGCUCAAUGGGAAAGAAGGUGUUAGACAGUGGCCUCCCUGACUCCCUCAGCCUAGAGACUGCUGCCCUGAUAAGAGACACUCACUUGCUUUCAUCCAUGAGAUUGGGGCUAGCAUGAUGAUUCUGUGUGGGAAGAAACAUAUGAGAUGGUCAUUCAAUUUCUGUAAGAAUCACCGAGAACAGGUGAGCCAAGUUCCCAAGCUCAUUCCAACAAUAUUCUAUCUCCCCAAACCUCAAGGAAAAGCCCAGUCUCAGCCUUCCCCCAGCCCAGUCCCCAGGAAGGGCACCUGGCCCUAGGGAACAAACUACUUGUGAAAAGAGAAGAUAAUCCAUAGUAGGUACAGGAGGGCAGUGGGCAGAGGAGGAGGAGGCAUGAACCUGAGGUGCCGCUAUGCUAGCAAGACUGGCACCAGGGCAAGGGACACCACCAGGUAACACUGUGUCAUUGGCAGGUGGCUAGACAGACGCAGCAUUGUCUUUGGCGUCUGUCACAGAACAAAGCAGGGCAUCAGGGGGCCAUGCAGGAGAGAAGGUGCCUCAGUGGCAUGGACACAAGAGUGUGGAACAGGUAUGACAGAUGCUUACGCAAUGACAGUGACAGUCACGCAUGCUUGGAGCCACUCGGGGGUGUGGAUAUGGUUUGCCCAGGCCUUGGGCUGCUAGGCAGCAUUUUGAAUGGCCAAAGCUCAAAGCAGGGGCUGCACGGCCUCCUUCAUGAAUACAUGAGGACCUCGCUCCCCCUGGAGUUCAGCAAAAGACAGCAGCAGGUUCUGACCUGUGGCAGCCACAGCAGGCUGGAGGAAGGUGUACCAAAGUCAGGGAAGAGAAAGGCACUGUUCUUCCAGAACGCCAGUCUGUGCCACAGAGUGACCCUAACUGGGCCCCUCCUGGGCAGAGGACAGUGAUGAGGAAGUAGUAGUCUGGGCAAUGUACAAUGUAGCUGCCUCUCUCUUCUCCCUUCCCUUCUCCCUUGCAGUGGCAUAAUCAGCAGGGGCUACCAUCUCCUACAGCUCGCCCAGCUUCUCCUGCAGCUCCUCCUUGACAUGCUGCUCAGACUAAAGUGCGUUGUUGAUCUCCAUAUUCUCACUGUUCUGGACAGAGAGAAGCAAUCACGCCACCCACUGCAGCUGGAGACCGCAGAACUUGGUGUCUGCCUCCCAUGGCGCCGGGAAGGAUGGAGGCAGAUAAGAAAAAUGAUCCCCUCUCCCCCAUAGCCAUCAAACCAGGGCUCUGGCUCACAGGUCCCUUCAGAAGUGCCACUUCACAUGAGGGCUACACUGCCCCACUUAACAGAUGUGAAAAAGGAGGCCCAAAGAGAACUCAAGCAAUUUGCCCUAAAUCAUAUCCCUAGCAGAUGGAGAGGUAGGAUUCGAACCCAGAAUUCUUAACCAGUACCCGACAGUUCUUCCACAAUCUUAACAAUUACCCUCUACUGCCCUUUGGGCCCCCUGCCCUCAGGAGCCUGGUCAGCCAAGACUCACAUUCCCAGAAAUUCUACUUCUAUGAAUUCAGUCAUAAAAUGCUUGCUCGAGUCCAUUAAAAUGUAUAUAUGAGGAAAUUCACCUCUGGGGUGGCAAUGAUUAACUUAAUAUACAUCCAGCUAUUAAAAAUGAUGAUGCCAGGAUAUAUUUACUGCCAUAGAAGCAAGCCCAAAAUAUAGAGUGUUUGGUAAACUUCACCAUGUCUAUAUCUCUGUGUCUUUGCACCUGCUGGUCUCUGCUUGGAAUGAUGUCUCAAGGUUUUAUUCACCUGGAAAGAAUUCCUACUCACCCUUAAAGACUCAGCUUAAAUAACCCCUUCUCUGCUCUCAUACAAAGAUGACCCAAGGACAGAGGCAGCAGAGGGCAGUGCAGGGUAGUGCAAGAAGCUCUGGCUCUGGGACUAAUUGGACGAGGUCUGAAUCUUAACUCUGGCACCUGUUAGUGAAGCAGCCUCAAGCAAAUCACUUAAUGCUUCUGUACUUCCUUUAUUGUUUUGUAAAUAAAGAAAAUUCAAUCUACCAA